rnacentral:rRNA from 1 species
UACGGAGGGUGCAAGCGUUAUCCGGAUUCACUGGGUUUAAAGGGUGUGUAGGCGGGUCUGUAAGUCAGUGGUGAAAUCUCGAGGCUCAACCUCGAAACUGCCAAUGAUACUAUAGGUCUUGAAUACCGCUGAGGUGGGCGGAAUAUGUCAUGUAGCGGUGAAAUGCAUAGAUAUGACAUAGAACACCAAUUGCGAAGGCAGCUCACUAAACGGUCAUUGACGCUGAGGCACGAAAGCGUGGGGAUCAAACAGG